UAUAAAAAUACGUAAAACAAAAACUAUAAUCGAAAAAGACAAUGCACAGGAAAUUUUUAAAAAGACGGUGAAAAAGGAAAGUGAAAAUGGGAGGAAAAUAAGUGGAAGCAAUGAAGAUUCUGAUGAACAAAAAACAAAGAAACGUAAACGAUGUCUGAAGACAACGGGCACGAGGCUACUUCAAAUAAGAAAAACAAACAGAUCGACAAAGGAGACAAUAUUCAUGAACAAGAAUUUAAAAUGACGUGUAGAGAGAAAAACACGUAGAGACGAAAAUGAAAAACGAAAGCGGACAAAAAGUAAAAGACAAUAUUGAAUUGGAAAAACCAAAACUUCGAGUCAUAUCAAAGAUGGAAUGGUAAAAGUUAAAGAAUGAAUAUCGCCAAUUACAAAAACAAGCGAUGAAAGAUGCUAAACAAAACUGAAGAUCGAGUUUGAGGUAUCAACUGCAGAAGUUCCACAGCGAAAAAUAAAGGAUAAAGUGAAUUGUAAAGCAGAAAAUAAUGCAAAAGAUGAGAAAAAACUUCCUGAAAAACUUGAACGGCAGAAUGGCGUUGUUCUAAGGUUUAAAUCAAAUGAAAAUGUUGACUCAACAGAGGUACUGGACAUAUUUUAAACAAUUACCACUGUAGCUUAUCUUGAAAUAAACGAUAACAAAAAAGGAGGUUAUGUACGGUUCCCGACAAAGGAAAUGUACGAGAAAGUUGUAGAAACAUUCUCGAAAAGCGAUGGUUGUGUUAAAGAUAUAAAAAUUGAAAAACUUUCAGAAUACGAAGACAAAGAAUAUUGGGAGAGAUUAAAAUAGAGCGAACUCAACGAUUUAUGAACAAAAAGAAAAGGAAAAAAAAUACCAGAGGAAGGCAAAAGAUUACCAAGAAAGUUGAUGAACAUAAUGCAAGAAAGAAAGAACAUAUCCAUUUUAAUAACUAGUAGGCAUUAAAAAGUAACAUUAAAAUGUCCAAUUAUGUGCAUGCUCAAUAUUUCAAGUGUUAUUGUUGUUGUUUUUGUGUCAAGUUUGGUUGGUACACUACUCUUUUUCAAUAAAGCUUGGUAUAUUUUGGUCAUCAUUGAUAUCUUUCGUGUUUUGUGAUCGAAAGUUCGCAACACUGAAAUCAAGUGUACAGUACUGCUUCAGCGUUUUAAGAUCAAAUUAAAUAUAUUUGAAAUCGACAUUGGAAGCGUGUGUUUGAAGAAGUUGUUACACCAAAUAUCUACAGCACCAAACUGUGGAUGACGUCAGGUCAUUGGCAACAUUAUUCUGAGAAUUUAUUCAAGUUUGAAAUAGAAAAGGAAGUUUAUGCUCUUAAGGCAAUGAACUGUCCUGGACAUUGUUUGAUGUUCGAUCAUCGCCCUCGCUCCUGGCGUGAAUUACCAUUGCGUAUGGCUGAUUUUGGCGUGUUACAUCGAAACAAGUUAUCUGGUGCUUUGAGUGGACUUGCGAGAGUUAGAAGAAGAUUUCAACAGGAUGAUGCUCACAUUUUUUGUACAAUGUAACAGAUUUCAUCAGAAAUAGACAGUUGUCUUGACUUCUUACGUUCUGUUUACGAUAUCUUUGGUUUUACGUUCAUUGUUGAGCUAUCAACUCCACCUGAGAAAUUCAUGAACUGGUUACAUGGAAUGAAGCUGAACAGGGUUUGUUCCCAACAGAAAAGGGAGG